rnacentral:misc_RNA from 1 species
AACGCACCUUGCGCCCCUUGGCAUUCCGAGGGGCACGCCUGUUCGAGUGUCGUGAACUCCUCCGCUCCAUACCCUUUUCGAAGGGUAUUGGGGCUGGGAUUUGGGAGCUUGCGGGUCCCUGGUCGAUCCGCUCUCCUUGAAUGCAUUAGCGAAGCCCUUGCGGCCUUGGUGUGAUAGUCAUCUACGCCUCGGCUUAGCGAACUUGUGGGAAUCGCUUCCAACCGUCUCGCAAGAGACAACGACUACCAACUUGACCUCGAAUCAGGCGGGACUACCCGCUGAACUUAA